GACGAACGCUGGCGGCGUGCCUAAUACAUGCAAGUCGAGCGCAGGAAAUCGACGGAACCCUUCGGGGGGAAGUCGACGGAAUGAGCGGCGGACGGGUGAGUAACACGUAAAGAACCUGCCCUCAGGUCUGGGAUAACCACGAGAAAUCGGGGCUAAUACCGGAUGGGUCAUCGGACCGCAUGGUCCGAGGAUGAAAGGCGCUUCGGCGUCGCCUGGGGAUGGCUUUGCGGUGCAUUAGCUAGUUGGUGGGGUAAUGGCCCAUCAAGGCGACGAUGCAUGGCCGACCUGAGAGGGUGAUCGGCCACGCUGGGCCUGAGACACGGCCCAGACUCCUACGGGAGGCAGCAGUAGGGAAUCUUCCACAAUGGACGAAAGUCUGAUGGAGCAACGCCGCGUGAACGAUGAAGGCCUUCGGGUCGUAAAGUUCUGUUGUAAGGGAAGAACAAGUGCCGCAGGCAAUGGCGGCACCUUGACGGUGCCUUGCGAGAAAGCCACGGCUAACUACGUGCCAGCAGCCGCGGUAA
rnacentral:rRNA from 1 species